rnacentral:rRNA from 1 species
AGAGUUUGAUCCUGGCUCAGAACGUACGCUGGCGGCACGCCUUAUACAUGCAAGUCGAACGAAGUAGCAAUACUUAGUGGCAGACGGGUGAGUAACAUGUGGGUAUCUUCCCUUUGGUGAGGAAUAACACGAGGAAACUUGUGCUAAUACCUCAUAAGUCUUUACGGAGAAAGCUUUACGCGCCAAUGGAUGAGCCCGCACUUGAUUAGUUUGUUGGUGGGGUAAUGGCCUACCAAGACUGUGAUCAAUAGCUGAUUUGAGAGGAUGAUCAGCCACAUUGGGACUGAGACACGGCCCAAACUCCUACGAGAGGCAGCAGUAGGGAAUCUUGCACAAUGGAGGAAACUCUGAUGCAGCGAUGCCGCGUGAGUGGAGAAGGCCUUUGGGUUGUAAAGCUCUUUCGUCGGGG